AAACUCUUUCCAGUUCCACGAUUUUUGUUUGUAAAAAUGUUCAGGAAAGAAAAAAGAAAAAAGAUUAAUGAAUAGUUAAACUUUGAAAGGAAUAUAAAAGAAAAAAAAAUAUUAUUUUUUCUUGGUAUUAUGGCAUUAGUGAUGUCUCUAGUUAAAAGUUGAUAUCCCCGUAGACGUCUAGGACGUUUGUCUUCGAAGGACACUCUCAAACCGGACGUUACAGUGGCUUUCCUGUCCCAGUGGAUGCGUUCGGAGGACUUCGUUAUCCUUUCCUUACCUAGAAAGCCAUCGUACCGUAACACGAAAACGGACGAUGCUGCGAAAAGAGUGUGGAUACAAAGAAGAAAAAAGUAAAACAAAAAAAUGGAAAGAAAAAAAUAUAGAGGUAAAAAAAAAGAAAAAAGACACGGAAGGAAGGAAAGAAGGAAGGAAGGAAGGAAGGAAGGAAGGAAGAAAGGAGAAAGGAGAAAGGAGGAAGGAGGAAGGAGAAAGGAGGAAAGAAAGAAGAGGAGGAGGAAGGAGCGCGUCCUCGAAACCACAUAAUUUGCCCUGCCAACCAGGAAUUUCUCGCGAAACUUUCGACUCUGUUUCCUCCACUUCUGCUUUUCUCCACAAAAUAUUCUUCAAAAUGCGAUGGCAAAAGAGAAAAUCGACUUUAUAACAGGGAGCCAACACGAAGCACCUUUCAUUUCCUGUCUUUCCACACGGACGAAUUGUCUUACAGAUGGACGUCAUCAUUCCGAGCCUGGCUUUAGCUCGUGCGAUCUAAAACGAAAGAUGAUAGAUAGAUCUUUGGUAUAUACCGAAUCAAUGAAAUAUAAAAAUUUGAAAGACCUUCUAUAAAUUCGGACGUAAUCAUUCAGAACGGAACAGAAAGAGGAUACUUAUCUCAAAAAGGAGCAUCUGAAAUACUCGCGCAUUGAAGGAAAACUUGGAUGUGUACAGACGUCCACGUGCAGUAUACUCGGCUGCUUUUCUUGCUGCCUCUCGAACGUCUUCCUGAAGAUGGCUCCAGAAUAUUCUGCAUCCAGUUCUACAUUUACCACGUCCGAAUCACCAAUUACAGUACAAGUAAAUACAUCGCAGAGGAACAGGCCGAAUAUGGCUAUCCAAUAAAUCGUAAAACAACCAAAAGGAUAAUCACCGACCUGAAAGAACUUCCAACACAUCCAGGGAACUGUCGCCGAACAACACACCAUCUAACAAGAGAAAAAAUAUUUUAAAAACUUCU